rnacentral:rRNA from 1 species
UACGUAGGGCGCAAGCGUUAUCCGGAAUUAUUGGGCGUAAAGAGCUCGUAGGCGGUCUGUCGCGUCGAAUGUGAAAACCCGGGGCUCAACCCCGGGCCUGCAUUCGAUACGGGCAGACUAGAGUUCGGUAGGGGAGUCUGGAAUUCCUGGUGUAGCGGUGAAAUGCGCAGAUAUCAGGAGGAACACCGGUGGCGAAGGCGGGACUCUGGGCCGAUACUGACGCUGAGGAGCGAAAGCGUGGUGAGCAAACAGG